rnacentral:misc_RNA from 1 species
UUGGUUUUGAGAAGUGAAAGGAAGGAGGUGAAUUGGUAAAGAAAAAAUGGCAUGUAUGUCACUCAAUAUAGGAGCUGCUUCUGCUUUGAAGUUUGUAAGCAAUUCCCAAAAUCAUCCAGUAAAGCUGUUCUCGGCUAAAGAACAACGUUGUUCCAACUUCAGUUCCAGCAAUUGGGGUUGUUUCAGUCUUCGAGUUCGUCGGAGUUCUUGCCUUCGUUUUGAUACACAAAAAUCUUUCGCCGUUUUCAACAGCCUUCCAGUGGAUAAUAGCAACCCCAAGGAAAGUGUGGUUGUCUUGGUAAUUGGA